rnacentral:misc_RNA from 1 species
GAUGAAGAACGUAGCGAAAUGCGAUAAGUAAUGUGAAUUGCAGAAUUCAGUGAAUCAUCGAAUCUUUGAACGCACCUUGCGCUCCUUGGUAUUCCGAGGAGCAUGCCUGUUUGAGUGUCAUGAAAUUCUCAAACCCAUAAGUCUUUGCGGGCUUACGGGCUUUGGACUUGGAGGCUUGUCGGCGACCGUAAAGUCACAUCGACUCCUCUCAAAUGCAUUAGCUUGAUUCCUUGCGGAUCGGCUCUCGGUGUGAUAAUUGUCUACGCCGUGACCGUGAAGCGUUUUGGCAAGCUUCUAACCGUCUCUAACGAGACAGCUUACUUUGACCUGACCUCAAAUCAGGUAGGACUACCCGCUGAACUUAAGCAUAUCAAUAAGCGGAGGA